AACGAACGCUGGCGGCAUGCCUAACACAUGCAAGUCGAACGAGACCUUCGGGUCUUGUGGCGCACGGGUUCGUAACGCGUGGGAACCUGCCCUUAGGUUCGGCAUAACUCCCCGAAAGGGGUGCUAAUACCGGAUAAUAUCUUCGGACCAAAGAUUUAUCGCCUUGGGAGGUGCCCGCGUUGGAUUAGGUAGUUGGUAGGGUAAAAGCAUACCAAGGCGCCGAUCCAUAGCUGGUCUGAGAGACUGAUCAGCCACACCGGGACUGGGACACGGCCCGGACUCCUACGCGAGGCAGCAGUGGGGAAUAUUGGACAACGGGCGAAGGCAUGAUCCAGCACUGCCGCGUGAGUGAUGAAGGCAUUAGGGUUGUAAUGCUCUUUUAACCGGGAUGAUAAUGACAGUACCGGGAGAAUAAGCUCCGGCUAACUCCGUG
rnacentral:rRNA from 1 species